GUGAGGAAUAUUGGUCAAUGGGCGCAAGCCUGAACCAGCCAUGCCGCGUGAAGGAUGAAUGCCCUAUGGGUUGUAAACUUCUUUUGUACGGGACGAAACCCCUGAACGUGUUCGGGGCUGACGGUACUGUACGAAUAAGCAUCGGCUAACUCCGUGCCAGCAGCCGCGGUAAUACGGAGGAUGCAAGCGUUAUCCGGAUUCAUUGGGUUUAAAGGGUGCGUAGGCGGGAUAAUAAGUCAGCGGUGAAAUCCUACAGCUUAACUGUAGAACUGCCAUUGAUACUGUUAUUCUUGAGUACAUUUGAAGUGGGUGGAAUGUGUGGUGUAGCGGUGAAAUGCUUAGAUAUCACACAGAACGCCAAUUGCGAAGGCAGCUCACUAAGCUGUUACUGACGCUGAGGCACGAAAGCGUGGGGAUCAAACAGGAUUAGAAACCCCGGUAGUCC
rnacentral:rRNA from 1 species